GCGGGGGUACCCGAGCCUGGUCAAAGGGGCAGGGCUUAGGACCCUGUAGUGUAGACUUACGCCGGUUCAAAUCCGGCCCCCCGCA
rnacentral:tRNA from 1 species